GAUGAACACUAGCGGCAGGCUUAAUACAUGCAAGUCGAGGGGCAGCAGGAAUAGCAAUAUUUGCUGGCGACCGGCGCACGGGUGCGUAACACGUAUACAAUCUGCCUUUAACAGGGGGAUAGCCCGGAGAAAUCCGGAUUAAUACCCCAUAACAAAAGAACAAGCAUUUGUUUUAUUUAAAAGCUCAGGCGGCUAGAGAUGAGUAUGCGUCUGAUUAGCUAGUUGGUGAGGUAACGGCUCACCAAGGCGACGAUCAGUAGAGGAUCUGAGAGGAUUAACCCCCACACGGAUACUGAGACACGGAUCCGACUCCUACGGGAGGCAGCAGUAAGGAAUAUUGGACAAUGCCCGCAAGGGUGAUCCAGCCAUGCCGCGUGCAGGAAGACGGCCCUAUGGGUUGUAAACUGCUUUUGUACCGGAGAAAACCUCCCCUCGUGAGGGGAGCUGAUAGUAUGGUAAGAAUAAGCAUCGGCUAACUUCGUGCCAGCAGCCGCCGCGG
rnacentral:rRNA from 1 species